AGAUCUAUAGAUUUAAAUUAUACAUGAUCCCAUUAAUUAUAGGGUAAAUGUCCAUUAACAAAAUGUGAAUCUUUUAUAGCUUUUUACAUAACCAGCUGAAUAUUUGAUCAAUCUUCUUAGCAGGUUAAGGGCAUGGCUAUUUCUUGAGUGCGGUGUUCGCCUGUUUUUACCAUCAGAAAAGGUAUUUUCAAUGUGUGUUUGGGAUGACUACCUACUGCAGGGGUGACAAACUCAUUUUCACUUUGGGCCACAUCAAAAAUCUGGAUGUUCUUAAAGGGCCGGUUGUGCCAGAAUCUAUUGAUAAAAGCCAUUAAACUGUUAAAAUAU